CAUGCGCGGUAAACACAUACGUGACGUACGUACGUGACGUCACCGCGCUACAGUCUGCAGCGAGGGGUGUCUCAAAGGCUUUACAG